GUCAAGAUGGCCGAGUUGGUCUAAGGCGCCCGCUUCAGGUGCGGGUCCGAAAGGGCGUGGGUUCAAAUCCCACUCUUGACA
rfam:Brassica napus, WGS project CCCW01000000 data, contig: 14883